GAUGAACGCUGGCGGCGUGCCUAAUACAUGCAAGUCGAGCGAACGGACGAGAAGCUUGCUUCUCUGAUGUUAGCGGCGGACGGGUGAGUAACACGUGGAUAACCUACCUAUAAGACUGGGAUAACUUCGGGAAACCGGAGCUAAUACCGGAUGAUAUUUUGAACCGCAUGGUUCAAAAGUGAAAGACGGUCUUGCUGUCACUUAUAGAUGGAUCCGCGCUGCAUUAGCUAGUUGGUAAGGUAACGGCUUAUCAAGGCAACUAUGCAUAGCCGACCUGAGAGGGGGAUCGGCCACCCUGGAACUGAGACACGGUCCAGACUCCUACGGGAGGGCGCAGUAGGGAAUCGUCCGCAAUGGGCGAAAGCCUGACGGAGCAACGCCGCGUGAGUUAUGAAGGUCUUCGGAUCGUAAAACUCUGUUAUUAGGUAAGAACAUAUGUGUAAGUAACUGUGCACAUCGUGACGGUACCUAAUCAAAAAGCCACGGCUAACUACGUG
rnacentral:rRNA from 1 species